CCUACGGGAGGCAGCAGUGGGGAAUCUUCCGCAAUGGGCGCAAGCCUGACGGAGCAAUGCCGCGUGAACGAAGAAGGUCUUCGGAUUGUAAAGUUCUGUCCUUAUCGAAGAGAGGGUAUAGAGUGAAAAAUGAUAUACUAGGACGGUAGAUGAGGAGGAAGCCCCGGCUAACUACGUGCCAGCAGCCUCGGUAAUACGUAGGGGGCGAGCGUUGUCCGGAAUCACUGGGCGUAAAGGGCCGGUAGGCGGUAAUUUAAGUCAGGUGUGAAAGGUGGGGGCUCAACCCCGAGAGUGCAACUGAUACUGGAUAACGGGAGUGUGAGAGAGGGAAGUGGAAUUCCUGGUGUAGCGGUGAAAUGCGUAGAUAUUAGGAGGAACACCAGUGGCGAAGGCGGCUUUCUGGCUCAUAACUGACGCUGAGGCGCGAAAGCGUGGGGAGCAAACAGGAUUAGAUACCCGGGUAGUC
rnacentral:rRNA from 1 species